rnacentral:rRNA from 1 species
UAACACAUGCAAGUCGAACGAAGUAGCAAUACUUAGUGGCAGACGGGUGAGUAACAUGUAGGUAUCUGCCCUUUGGCCUGGAAUAACACGAGGAAACUUGUGCUAAUACCGGAUAAGUCUUUACGGAGAAAGCUUUAUGCACCAUUGGAUGAGCCUGCACUAGAUUAGUUUGUUGGUGGGGUAAUGGCCUACCAAGACUGUGAUCUAUAGCUGAUUUGAGAGGAUGAUCAGCCACAUUGGGACUGAGACACGGCCCAAACUCCUACGGGAGGCAGCAGUGGGGAAUCUUGCACAAUGGAGGAAACUCUGAUGCAGCGAUGCCGCGUGAGUGAAGAAGGCCUUUGGGUUGUAAAGCUCUUUCGUCGGGGAAGAAAAUGACUGUACCCGAAUAAGAAGGUCCGGCUAACUUCGUGCCAGCAGCCGCGGUAAUACGAAGGGACCUAGCGUAGUUCGGAUUUACUGGGCUUAAAGAGUUCGUAGGUGGUUGAAAAAGUUAGUGGUGAAAUCCCAGAGCUUAACUCUGGAACUGCCACUAAAACUUUUCAGCUAGAGUAUGAUAGAGGAAAGCAGAAUUUCUAGUGUAGAGGUGAAAUUCGUAGAUAUUAGAAAGAAUACCAAUUGCGAAGGCAGCUUUCUGGAUCAUUACUGAC